UACGUAGGGGGCAAGCGUUGUCCGGAUUUAUUGGGCGUAAAGAGCGUGUAGGCGGUUUGGUAGGUCCGUUGUGAAAACUCGAGGCUCAACCUCGAGACGCCGAUGGAAACCAUCAGACUAGAGUCCGGAAGAGGAGAGUGGAAUUCCUGGUGUAGCGGUGAAAUGCGCAGAUAUCAGGAGGAACACCAGCGGCGAAGGCGGCGCUCUGGGCCGGUACUGACGCUGAGGAGCGAAAGCGUGGGGAGCAAACAGG
rnacentral:rRNA from 1 species